rnacentral:rRNA from 1 species
AUUGAACGCUGGCGGCAGGCCUAACACAUGCAAGUCGAACGAGUGGCGGACGGGUGAGUAAUGUCUGGGAAACUGCCUGAUGGAGGGGGAUAACUACUGGAAACGGUAGCUAAUACCGCAUACCAUCGGAUGUGCCCAGAUGGGAUUAGCUAGUAGGUGGGGUAACGGCUCACCUAGGCGACGAUCCCUAGCUGGUCUGAGAGGAUGGCCACCCACACGGGAACGGAGACACGGUCCAGACUCCUACGGGAGGCAGCAGUGGGGAAUAUUGCACAGUGGGCGCGAGCCUGAUGCAGCCAGGCCGCGUGUAUGAAGAAGGCCUUCGGGUUGUAAAGUACGUUCAGCGGGGAGGCAUUACCCGCAGAAGAAGCACCGGCUAACUCCGUGCCAGCAGCCGCGGUAAUUC